rnacentral:tRNA from 1 species
GGGCCAUUAGCUCAGCUGGUUAGAGCAUACGGCUGUUAACCGUGCGGUCGAAGGUUCGAGUCCUACAUGGUCCA